GACGGUUUGGCCGAGUGGUCUAAGGCGCCAGAUUUAGGCUCUGGUUCGAAAGGGCGUGGGUUCAAAUCCCACAGCCGUCA
rnacentral:tRNA from 1 species